ACUCCUGCGGGAGGCAGCAGUGGGGAAUUUUGGACAAUGGGCGAAAGCCUGAUCCAGCAAUGCCGCGUGAGUGAAGAAGGCCUUCGGGUUGUAAAGCUCUUUUGUCAGGGAAGAAACGGUGAGAGCUAAUAUCUCUUGCUAAUGACGGUACCUGAAGAAUAAGCACCGGCUAACUACGUGCCAGCAGCCGCGGUAAUACGUAGGGUGCAAGCGUUAAUCGGAAUUACUGGGCGUAAAGCGUGCGCAGGCGGUUUUGUAAGUCUGAUGUGAAAUCCCCGGGCUCAACCUGGGAAUUGCAUUGGAGACUGCAAGGCUAGAAUCUGGCAGAGGGGGGUAGAAUUCCACGUGUAGCAGUGAAAUGCGUAGAUAUGUGGAGGAACACCGAUGGCGAAGGCAGCCCCCUGGGUCAAGAUUGACGCUCAUGCACGAAAGCGUGGGGAGCAAACAGGAUUAGAUACCCCUGUAGUCCCAUG
rnacentral:rRNA from 1 species